rnacentral:tRNA from 1 species
ACCUGGAUGGCUUAGUCAGUUAAGCAUCUGACUUCAGCUCAGGUCAUGACCUCACAGCUCGUGAGUUCAAGUCCCACAUCAGGCU